AACGAACGCUGGCGGCAUGCCUAAUACAUGCAAGUCGAACGAGAUCUUCGGAUCUAGUGGCGCACGGGUGCGUAACGCGUGGGAAUCUGCCCUUGGGUUCGGAAUAACUUCUGGAAACGGACGCUAAUACCGGAUGAUGACGUAAGUCCAAAGAUUUAUCGCCCAAGGAUGAGCCCGCGUAGGAUUAGGUAGUUGGUGAGGUAAAGGCUCACCAAGCCGACGAUCCUUAGCUGGUCUGAGAGGAUGCUCAGCCACACUGGGACUGGGACCCGGCCCAGACUCCUACGGGAGGCAGCAGUAGUGGAUAUUGGACAAUGGGCGAGAGCCUGAUCCAGCGAUGCCGCGUGAGUGAUGAAGGCCUUAGGGUUGUAAAGCUCUUUUACCCGGGCUGAUAAUGACAGUACCGGGAUAAUAAGCUCCGGCUAACUCCGUG
rnacentral:rRNA from 1 species